rnacentral:rRNA from 1 species
GCUUGUCUCAAAGAUUAAGCCAUGCAUGUCUUAGUGUAAAUAACUCUUAUGAAACUGCGAAUGGCUCAUUAAAUCAGUUAUCAAAUACGUGAUGGUCGCCUACUACAUGGAUAACCGUAGUAAUUCUAGAGCUAAUACAUGCACAAAGGCCCACUCACGUGGGUUGUGAUUAUUAGAUUCAAACCGGCCUCGUUCUGGUGAUUCAUAAUAACUGAUCGAAUCGCAAGGCCUUUGGCCGCGAUAAGUCAUUCAAGUUUCUGCCCCAUCAGCUUUCGAUGGUAGUGUAUUGGACUACCAUGGCGUUCACGGGUAACGGAGAAUUAGGGUUCGAUUCCGGAGAGGGAGCCUGAGAAACGGCUACCACAUCUAAGGAAGGCAGCAGG